rnacentral:lncRNA from 1 species
GGGGGGUUUGAAAAGGGUUUUUGGGGGGGGUUUGGGAUCUUUUUGGGGUUCACGGAAGUUAUUUCAGGGCAGAUUCGGAGUCUUUUGGGGGUCAAUAAACGUGGGUUAUUUCGAGGCAGAUUUGGGGUCUUUUAUGGCCGAGAUUAUUUCCGGAUGGAUCCGGGGUCUUUUGGGGCUGACUUGUGGGUUAUUUCUGGAUGGAUUCGGGGUCUUUUGGGGUUCACAGAAAUUAUUUUAAGGCGGAUUUGGGGUCUUUUGGGGCUCACAGGUUAUUUUAUGGCGGAUUUGGGGUCUUUGGGGGCCGAGAGCUGUGGGUUAGUUCAGGAUAGAUUUGGAAUCUUUUGGGGCUGACAGAUGCGGGUUAUUUUGAGGUGGAUUUGGGGUCUUUUGGGGGCUCACAGGUUAUUUCAAGGCGGAUUCGGGGUCUUUUUGGGGCUGACAGAUGGGUUAUUUUAAGGUGGAUUUGGGGUCUUUUGGGGCUAACACGCAGAUUAUUUCAAGGGGGAUUUGGGGUCUUUUGGGGCCGAGAUUAUUUCCAGAUGGAUCCGGGGUCUUUUGGGGCUGACUUGUGGGUUAUUUCUGGAUGGAUUCGGGGUCUUCUGGGGGGUUCACACGUUAUUUCAAGGUGGAUUUGGGGUCUUUUUGGGGCUGACAGCUGUGGGUUAUUUCAGGGUGGAUUCAGGGUCUUUUUGGGGCUGACAAAUGGGUUAUUUUAACACAGAUUCGGGUUCUUUCGGGGCCGAGAGCCGUGGGUUAUUCUGAGGCGGAUCCGGGGUGUUUCGGGGCCGAGAGCCGCGUGCCGCGGGGUCAUUUUGGGGUCCGCUCACCCCCCCAAACUUUUUUUUCCCCCCUUCCCCCCCCCCAGAGCCGGAGGUGGGCAAGGACCAGGAGUUCACGGUGAAGACCAAGGGCGCCGGGGGCCAGGGCAAGGUGGGCGCCAAGGUGACGGGCCCGGGGCGCAAGGGGGUGCCCUGCAAGGUGGAGCCGGGGCUGAGCCCCGACAACAGCCUGGUGCGCUGGAUCCCCCGCGAGGAGGGGCCCUACGAGCUCGAGGUCACCUACGACGGGCUCCCCGUGCCCGGCAGCCCCUUCCCCGUCGAGGCCGUGCCCCCCACCGACCCCUCCAAGGUACGCGCCUUCGGGCCGGGCCUCCAGGGCGGCCUGGCGGGGGUCCCGGCCCCCUUCACCAUCGACACCAAGGGCGCCGGCACGGGGGGCUUGGGGCUGACGGUGGAGGGCCCGUGCGAGGCCAAGAUCGAGUGCCAGGACAACGGCGACGGCACCUGCUCCGUCUCCUACCUGCCCUCCGAGCCCGGCGACUACAACAUCAACAUCCUCUUCGCCGGCGCCCACGUCCCGGGGUCCCCCUUCCGCGCCCCCGUCCGCGCCCCCUUCGACCCCUCCAAGGUGACGUGCUCGGGGCCCGGGCUGGAGGGCGGCACGGCCGGGCAGCCCGGCCACUUCCGCGUGGACUGCAGCCGCGCCGGCAGCGCCGAGCUGACCAUCGGCAUCGCCUCGGAGGCCGGGGCGAGGGCCGAGGUGCGGGUGGAGGACAACGGCGACGGCACCUACACCAUCGCCUACACGCCGCUCAGCCCCGGCGUCUACACCAUCACGGUGGAGUACGGCGGGCAGCCCGUGCCCCACUUCCCCAGCAAGGUGCGCGUCGAGCCCGCCCUCGACACGGCCGGCGUCAAGGUCUACGGGCCCGGCGUCGAGGGGAAAGGCGUCUUCCGGGAGGCGGUGACGGAGUUCGAGGUGGACGCGCGGGCGCUGAGCCCAGCGGGGGGGCCGCAGGUGAAGGCGCGCGUCUCCAACCCCUCGGGGGGCAGCACCGAGACCUUCGUGGAGGACCGGGGCGACGGCACCUACCACGUCGAGUACACCCCCUACGAGGAAGGCGUGCACACGGUGGAGGUGACGUACGGCGGCAGCGCCGUGCCCCACAGCCCCUUCCGCGUCCCCGUCACCGAGGGCUGCGACCCCGCGCGCGUCCGCGUCCACGGCCCCGGCAUCCAGAGCGGCACCACCAACCGCCCCAACACCUUCACCGUCGAGACCCGGUGAGCCCCGCCACCCCAAAACCCCGGGGGGGGGGGGUCCCAAGGGGCCCCGCCACCCCAAAACCUCGGGGGGGGCACCAAAAGGUCCCCGCGACCCUAAAACCUUGGGAUGAGGGCCCCUUGUCCCAAAUCCUAGUCCCAAGUCCUUGGGGUGGGGGCCCCAAAGGGUCCUCAUGACCCUAAAACCUCGGGGGGGGGGGUGGUCCCAAGGGGCCCCGCCACCCCAAAACCUCGGGGGGGGGUCCCCAAAGGGUCCCCGUGACCCCAAAGCCUUGGGUUGGGAUCCCCAAAGGGUCCUCGUGUCCCAAAUCUUUGUCCCAAGUCCUUGGGGUGGGGGCCCCUUGUCCCAAAUCCUAGUCCCAGAGCCUCAGGGUGGGGACCCCAAAGGGCCCCUGUGACCCCAAAACCUCGGGGGGGGUGGUCCCAAGGGGCCCCGUGACCCUAAAACCUCGGGGGGGGGCCCCAAAAGGUCCCCGCGACCCUAAAACCUUGGGAUGGGGGCCCCUUGUCCCAAAUCCUAGUCCCAGAGCCUCAGGGUGGGGACCCCAAAGGGUCCUCAUGGCCCUAAAACCUCGGGGUGGGGUCCCCAAAGGGUCUCUGCCACCCCAAAACCUUGGGGGGGGUCCUAAGGGGCCCCGCCACCCCAAAACCUUGGGGUGGGGGUCCCCGUGACCCCAAAGCCUUGGGAUGGGAUCCCCAAAGGGUCCUCGUGUCCCAAAUCCUUGUCCCAAGCCCUUGGGAUGGGGACCCCAAAGGGUCCUCAUGGCCCUAAAACCUCGGGGUGGGUCCCCAAAGGGUCCCCAUGACCCCCAAAGCCUUGGGCUGGGGGUCCCUUGUCCCAAAUCCUAGUCCCAAGUCCUUGGGGUGGGGGCCCCAAGGGGUCCUCAUGACCCUAAAAGCU